rnacentral:rRNA from 1 species
GACCUCGGAUCAGGUAGGGAUACCCGCUGAACUUAAGCAUAUCAAUAAGCGGAGGAAAAGAAACCAACAGGGAUUGCCUCAGUAACGGCGAGUGAAGCGGCAAAAGCUCAAAUUUGAAAUCUGGCUCUUUCAGGGUCCGAGUUGUAAUUUGUAGAAGAUGCUUCGGGUGUGGUCCCGGUCUAAGUUCCUUGGAACAGGACGUCAUAGAGGGUGAGAAUCCCGUAUGUGACUGGGUACCUACGCUCAUGUGAAGCUCUUUCGACGAGUCGAGUUGUUUGGGAAUGCAGCUCAAAAUGGGUGGUAAAUUUCAUCUAAAGCUAAAUAUUGGCCAGAGACCGAUAGCGCACAAGUAGAGUGAUCGAAAGAUGAAAAGCACUUUGGAAAGAGAGUUAAACAGUACGUGAAAUUGUUGAAAGGGAAGCGC